rnacentral:misc_RNA from 1 species
GAUGAAGAACGCAGUGAAAUGCGAUAAGUAGUGUGAAUUGCAGAAUUCAGUGAAUCAUCGAAUCUUUGAACGCACAUUGCGCCCUUUGGUAUUCCAAAGGGCAUGCCUGUUCGAGCGUCAUUUGUACCCUCAAGCUUUGCUUGGUGUUGAGCGUCUUGUCUCUAGCUUUGCUGGAGACUCGCCUUAAAGUAAUUGGCAGCCGGCCUACUGGUUUCGGAGCGCAGCACAAGUCGCACUCUCUAUCAGCAAAGGUCUAGCAUCCAUUAAGCCUUUUUUUUCAACUUUUGACCUCGGAUCAGGUAGGGAUACCCGCUGAACUUAAGCAUAUCAAUAAGCGGAGGA